AGUUCUGGCCUUUGGGGUUCAAGAUCACUGGGACCAGGCCGUGAUCUCUAUGCCCGAGUCUCAACCCUCAACUGUCACCCCAAGGCACUUGGGACGUCCUGGACAGACCGAGUCCCGGGAAGCCCCAGCACUGCCGCUGCCACACUGCCCUGAGCCCAAAUGGGGGAGUGAGAGGCCAUAGCUGUCUGGCAUGGGCCUCUCCACCGUGCCUGACCUGCUGCUGCCACUGGUGCUCCUGGAGCUGUUGGUGGGAAUAUACCCCUCAGGGGUUAUUGGACUGGUCCCUCACCUAGGGGACAGGGAGAAGAGAGAUAGUGUGUGUCCCCAAGGAAAAUAUAUCCACCCUCAAAAUAAUUCGAUUUGCUGUACCAAGUGCCACAAAGGUAGGGGCAAGUGGAAACGGUGAAUGCCCUCAGGUCUGGGGUGCUGCUUCUUUCUCUGCUUCUUCCAGUUGUUCUUCCCUAACUUUGCUGUCUCUCCUGGGCUGGGAUUUUCUCCCUCCCUCCUCUCCUAGAGACUUCAGGGAAUCGGCCCUGGCUGUUGUCCCUAGCAUG
rnacentral:lncRNA from 1 species